GUAACUGCUGAGAAGUCAUAUCCUGCGCUUCUCACUUCCUCAAACACUGUGAAGAGAGUGAACGAGUUGCUUGUUCCAGCAGAGAGAGAUGACACUAUGUGUGUCACUGCUGUGCUCCCAUCUGAUCCAGUGAUGGGGGUUUCUGUUUCAUCGCUCGAUUUCAGUAUGUAAGUGUUGAUGUUGUCGACUUUGGUCCACUCUAGCUCUAUGUGAGUCUCAUUGCGGGUUUUCACAAUCACCAGGGCAACAUUAGAGGGAGCUGAAGGGGAGGGGGUGGACAAGACAGAAACACAGACAGAUGGAAGGUCAUAGGAAAAGAGAGAUAUACAUUUAGAAUGCAGACUGCAAGAGGAAUCUGGAAUACAAAUAAAAUAAAUAUUGCCCAGGUUGAAAAAAGGUGCUCUUCAGUGUUUUAAAACUGUGCUAGAAAAUGCAUGUGGUAUAUGUAUACAGUAUAUUUGCAUUUCUUAAAUACUUUUAGUGCUUUAAAGCCCCGUUCGAGAAGAAUUGGUAUUUUUUCUAGUGAGCUCAAUUUUAUUUACACAAAUAUGACUAUUUAAAAAAUAGUUCCAUUUAUUGUGACAUCGGAGAUGAACGCUAACAUAACCAAAGAAUAAGAAAAAAAGACACAUUUUUAUUUAGCUGAAAUACUGCUCGUGUUUUCAGUCCAUUCACAUUGUUUUCCAAGCGUUUGAAUGUAGAGUAUGAGUAAAUCUAAUAAAAUAUUGUUGGCGACAUGCUUAAUAUACAUUAGACAGUGUCAUUUAUUAUGAGCUAGCUGACACAGCAAGUGUUGCGGAGAAAAAAAGCUACUUCCUUGAAAUUUCGCAAUCAAAAAAAGAGACAUACCUGUAACUGCUGAGAACUCAAAUCCUGUGCUUUUCACUCCCUCAAACACCGUGAAGAGAGUGAACAAGUAUUUAGUUCCAGCAGAGAGAGAUGACACUGUGUGUGUCACUGUGUUCCCAUCUGAUCCAGUGAUGGGGGUUUCUGUUCCACCGCUCGGUUUCAGUAUGUAAGUGUUGAUGUUGUUGACUUUGGUCCACUCUAGCUCUAUGUGAGUCUCAUUGCGGGUUUUCACAAUUACCUCGGUAACAUCAGGAGGAGCUGAAGGGGAGGGGGUGGACAAGACAGAAACACAGACAGAUCGAAGGUCAUAGGAAAAGAGAGAUAUACAUUUAGAAUGGAGACUGCAAGAGGAAUGUGGGACAAAAAUGAAAUAAAUUGAUAUUAAAAUAUGAAUUGACCAUUUGAAAAAGGAGAGAUUAUUUAGAUUCAGAGAUCAGAGACAGAAACUGGUCCUCACUUUAUCUCCAAAUAUUAUAUGCCUCCAAUUAUUGGAAUAAAGGGGGGCACUGUGGCGCAAGCAGUAGCCCCAACCACAUUCGGGCUUGAUGCCCAUGGAGGACACGGGUUUGAAUCUGGCCCGAUGUCAGAUCUCCCCCUCUCAUUUCCUGUCCCACUCUUCACUGCACUAUCCAUUAAAGGCAAAAAAGCCCAAAAAUACAUCUUUAAAAAAAUACAAUAUUGAAAUAAAAUCUUUUGAAAGGGAGGCAUUGAAAAUAUUUUUGUUUAUACUAAUUCAAUAAUAAUGUAAAUCAGAGUGUACAAAGAUUUAGGAGGCCCAGUUCUGGACAGAGAUCAUGAGAUUUUUAGGUGACCCACAAUGUCAAACUAAAACCCUGAGUAGAAGGGCUAGAUGGAUGUAAAUACCAAUACAUCUUGCCUUUGUAUGUCAAACAUGUCUACAAAAUUGAUUGAUUGAUUGAUUCAUUAGUGGGAUUUUCCCUCGUCAUCUCAAUGAGAGCCAGAACAUUUUCUAUAGAUGACGUAACUAUAAAUGGAAACUGAUAGUUGGAAUGAGAUUGUGUGGAGUAGGAACUCUUUUGUCCUCACUUCCCUAAGGUUAUUUCUCCUGUUUGAUAAUACAUUUAAUGUAUGUUUGAUGCAUGUGAGGUACAGUACCUCAUUUUAUGGCAUGGCAUUGUGGUUCUAAGUCUGAUCCUGAAAGAAAUAACUACAUUCUACAUGACAGAAAUAUUCAAUUAAAUGUGAGGUGUACAAUUCCGAAUAUAGAGCAUAGAUCUAGUCUAAAUAUUGUGUUUUGUAGUGUGUUCUUAAAAGUAUGUUAACCCAUGUUGGGUAUAUUGUCAUUCAUAAUCUCUGCGCUUAAUUUCAGAAACUGCAAGUUACCAGCAAUUUCAGAGGUGUUGUGUGGGCCUUUGGGUUCUCUGAGAGAACAUUUCUAUGGACAAACAGUCUAACAUCAGGCCACCAGAGAGGGAUAGAAGGCAAAUGAAAAACUCACGAGGUCUUGGUGUAGUAGUUGGUGCAGCAGUAGUUAUUGUGGUUGGAUUUAUAGUUGGUGCGCUUGUUGGUGUAAUAGCAGGACUGGAGGUGGAUUGACACUGAAAGAGGGAUUAUUUAUUAAAUUUUUUGUAAGAAGAGCAUUUACCAUGUGCUACAAACACAUGUUUAUAAUUAUAAUUUAAGAGGCUUAUCCAAAUAAGUUGAAAGAGACUCUAAAAACAUGAAAGAAUAGAAAUCCUUCAGUCAAAACAUGACCUCAAGACCAACUGUAUGCUUUUUACGGCUGCUCAUCUCAACUAGAGCUGCAACGAUUAGUCGACGUAAUCGACGAUGUCGAUUAUGAAAAAUUGUCGACGAUGAUUUUUAUUGUCGACGCGUCAUAAAAUAUAUAUAAACCAAAAAAUAUAUAUAUAU
ensembl:lncRNA